UAAACCUAAGCCAAAAUGGGAAAGGAGAAGACCCGCAUGAACAUCGCUGUCAUUGGGCACGUAGAUUCAGGAAAGACUACCACGACUGGCCAUCUGGCCUAUAAUGUGACGGGAUCGACAAGAGAACAACUGAAAAGUUCAAGAAGGAGGCUGCCGAGAUGGGAAAGGGCCCCUUUCAAAUAUGCCGGGUCUUGGACAAGCUGAAAGCUGAAUGUGAGCGUGGUAUCACCACUGAUAUCUCCCUGUGGAAAUUUGAGACCAGCAAGUACUGUGUUACCAUCACUGAUGCCCUAGAACACAGAGACUUCAUCAAAAACAUGAUUACAGGCACACUUCAGGCUGACUGUGCUGUCCUGAUUGUUGCUGCUGGUGUUGGUGAAUUUGAAGCCGGUAUCUCCAAGAACAGGCAGACCUGUGAGCAUGCCCUUCUGGCUUACACUCUGGGUGUGAAACAACUCAUUAUUGGAGUUAACAAAAUGGAUUCCACUGAGCCACCCUAUAGCCAGAAGAGAUACGAGGAAAUUGUUAAGGAAGUCAGCACCUACAUUAAGAAAAUUGGCUACAACCCCGACAUGGUAGCAUUUGUGCCAAUUUCUGGCUGGAAUGGUGAUAAUGUGCUGGAGCCAAGUGCUAACAUGCCAUGGUUCAAGGGAUGGAAAGUCACCCGAAAGGACGGCAAUGCCAGUGGAACCACCCUGCCUGAAGCUCUGGAUUGCAUCCUGCCACCAACUCACCCAACUGACAAACCCUUGCGUUUGCCUCUCCAGGAUGUCUAUAAAAUUGGUGGUAUUGGCCCUGUCCCUGUGGGUCAUGUGGAGACUGGUGUUCUCAAACCUGGCACGGUGGUCACCUUUGCUCCAGUCAAUGUAACAACUGAAGUGAAGUCUGUAGAAAUGCACCAUGAAGCAUUGAGUGAAGCCCUUCCUGGGGACAAUGUGGGCUUCAAUGUCAAGAACGUGUCUGUCAAAGAUGUCCGUCGAUAUUAG